UACGGAGGGUGCAAACGUUGCUCGGAAUCAUUGGGCGUAAAGCGCACGUAGGCGGUCCGUUAUGUCGGGUGUGAAAGCCCUCGGCUUAACCGAGGAAGUGCAUUCGAAACUGGCGGACUUGAGUACCGGAGAGGGUCGCGGAAUUCCCGGUGUAGAGGUGAAAUUCGUAGAUAUCGGGAGGAACACCAGUGGCGAAGGCGGCGACCUGGACGGAUACUGACGCCGAGGUGCGAAAGCGUGGGGAGCAAACAGG
rnacentral:rRNA from 1 species